GAGAGACAGAGAGAGAGAGAGAAGUGAGAGAAGUGAGAGAAAUGGGUCACCAAAAUUUUGGAGCUUGAUUUUCGGUGAUCUCGACGUUCGAUCGAUGUGUUUUAGGUGGUUAUGGACUCCUGGUGGGAUGGGCUUUCAGAUGUGAUCAAUGGUUCGCGGAAUGGUAAUCGGAAUCCGGCGGAUCGGAGCAAGGAAGAUAGUGGCUUUUCAGCCAUUUUUUAGUAGAUCCGACUGCAGGAUCGAUGAUUCGAGAUCACCGAUGAACUCAGCACACCGAAACCUUCGAGAUGGGACCAACUCCACUCCAAUCGGAUACUAUUUGAAAAAAACGAUUAUCGGACGGUCCAGAUUAUUUGGUACGAUCGGAUUGAUAAUAGCUCACUAACACUCUAGAUCGAGUUUUCAGGCCAAUCUAAACGCCCGAUAGGCUGUCCCAGAAGGUGAUCAAGUUUACAGUCAUUUCUAGUUUUUUUAGACAUUCCAGACGUGUUUCAGGUAGUAAAAUUUAUAAAGGUACUCAUUAAUUCAAGUUGUAUAAUUUUUACAGUGGUUAAACUAGCUGGUUAAAUCUGUAAAAUAUUAUUAGUUGAGUAAAUUAAGUAAAAUAAAUUUAAUUAAUACAAGGACGAUGUAAAGAACUUUCAGGAAUAUUUUUAUAAUAUUUUUUUAAGUGCUGGAAAUAGUGAUUUAGACUAUAGAAGAGUUAAGGACUCGAGCUGGAGAUUGAAGAUUGGAUUUUAUAUUAGGUUCUUGUAGGCCCCGAAUGGGCAUGUGAUGUUAUUGUUGUGGGCAUGAGGCUUUGUGUAUUGUUUUUUAUUGAGUUUUCUUGCAGGGGGUUAGGUCCAGUUAUAGGAGAUACUCUAUUGAAAUUUCACCAAGACCUUAGGAUUGAUCGUUGCUUCUGUAGAUUAAAUUCAUUGGUUAAUCCUAUCAGUCAAUUAUUAGAAGUCAGUGUGUCUGUAUAAGUGAUCGGGUGGCCACUUCUUCUUCCAACUGGAUUAGCUACAGUCGAGUUGUCAACUCUGUGAGUUGGAUAUUGGUUAUACUUUAUAAUUUCAAUAUUAUUUAUAUUUUUUUGGCAUGCUCAUAUAUUUUAUAAAUAUAUUUUCAUACUUAGUUAAAUAAAUUAAAUGCACUUUUAUUGUUGCAUAUUUAUUUGUUGAUAAUUACUUGUGUUUGCCUUCCUGGGGAUAAUUUGAAGCUAUGUGUGUUAUAUAUAUGUGGUAUAUGAUGGAUAUGGAUUAGACAGGUAGUCGUGGCUUGAGGUAGUCUCGCUAGAGCCUGAUCCUUAUAGAUAUGGAAACUCGGGGUGGGGCAUGGCUUGAGUUGAUCUCACUGGCUCUCGUACUUGGAUAUAAGCGAAAAUUUGGCUUGAGUUAAGCUCGCUGGCGGGAUUUGGAUUGAGAGAGCUAUAUAAGGAAUCAGCUUCCAUAUUUAUGCAUUAGGUGCAUAAGCAGCUCAAAAUUAUCUUCUUGUGUGAAUAUUAGGUGAAUUAUUGGUUAUAUAUGUUGAAUGUGCAUUUGAUGGAAGAACUGCAUUAGUUUUGGUAGUUGUUGAAAUUGCAUUUGUAAUCAACAUCUAAACUC
rnacentral:misc_RNA from 1 species